rnacentral:rRNA from 1 species
AACGCGAAGAACCUUACCUGGGUUUGACAUCCCCGGCUAUCCGUGGAGACACGGAGUCCGUAGCAAUACGGCCGGGAGACAGGUGCUGCAUGGCUGUCGUCAGCUCGUGUGGUGACAUGUUGGGUUAAGUCCCGCAACGAGCGCAACCCUUGUCUCUAGUUGCCAGCAUUAAGUUGGGCUCUCUAGAGAGACUGCCGUGGUUAACACGGAGGAAGGUGGGGAUGACGUCAAGUCCUCAUGGCCUUUAUAUCCAGGGCGACACACGUGAUACAAUGGUCGGUACAGAGGGAUGCGAACCCGCGAGGGGGAGCUAAAUCUCAAAAAAGCCGAAUCUCAGUUCGGAUUGGAGUCUGCAACUCGACUCCAUGAAGUUGGAAUCGCUAGUAAUCGCGGAUCAGCACGCCGCGGUGAAUACGUUCCCGGGCCUUGUACACACCGCUCGCGA